rnacentral:rRNA from 1 species
UACGAAGGGGGCUAGCGUUGCUCGGAAUUACUGGGCGUAAAGCGCACGUAGGCGGUCUUUUAAGUCGGGGGUGAAAUCCUGGAGCUCAACUCCAGAACUGCCUUCGAUACUGGAAGACUUGAGUCCGGGAGAGGUGAGUGGAACUGCGAGUGUAGAGGUGAAAUUCGUAGAUAUUCGCAAGAACACCAGUGGCGAAGGCGGCUCACUGGCCCGAUACUGACGCUGAGGUGCGAAAGCGUGGGGAGCAAACAGG